rnacentral:lncRNA from 1 species
AGCAAGCAAGGGAAGGGCGCAGCCGCGCAGGUGGGAAGAAGGGGGGCGAGGAACCAAUCCGACCCCCUCCAUGGCUCCCUCGCGCUCCCUCGCCCUCUUCCUGCUCUGCAUUCUGGCGCCGGCGCCUCCCGUCUCCGCCGCAUUGCUGUUCGGCGGCGGGAAGUCGUCGGCCGCGGCGGGGAAGGCGGCGGACCUGGACAUGGAGUGGCGGCCGGCCACCGCGACGUGGUACGGCGACGCCGAGGGCGACGGCAGCGACGGUAAGCGCUCUCUUCUCGGCUCCACACCAGCACAUUGCACCGGUCUUCCCUAGCCAUUUAUUACUGGGAGCACACAGACACACAGUGGUAGCAUACCAUUACCAAUUUACCAUACGAGCAAAAUACUCAGAACCUGUGCUUCGGAGAGUGCUACCAGUAUACAGCAACACCGCUUGUCUUUCUUACUGCCCCGUUUGGAUACCCGGCUAAAGUUCAGCACCUGUCACGUCGGAUGUUUGAUGCUAAUUAGAAGUAUUAAACAUAAGUUAAUUAUAAAACUAAUUGCACAGAUGGAGUCUAAUUUGCGAGACGAUUCUAUUAAACCUAAUUAGUCCAUGAUUUGAUAAUGCGGUGCUACAGUAACCAUUUGCUAAUGAUGAAUUAAUUAGGUUUAAUAGAUUCAUCUUGCGAAUUAGUAUAGGGAUUUGCAAUUAAUUUUAUAAUUUGCUUAUAUUUAGUCCUCCUAAUUAUCAUCCGAUGUGGCACUGCUAAAGUUUAGCACAUGGUAUCCAAACAUUCGUUCGCCGAGUAGAUUGUUCAGCACUGGCCGUCAGGUUAGCAUCAGCCGGCAGAAUUUUCUUUACCGCAGGUAGAAGAAAAAUGUUUUCCUUUGGGGUAGUAAAAGAAGACGAACAAUUCCUCCUGUUGCCACUUUUUUUUUUGGCGGGGGACCUCUGCGGAUCCCAUGAAUCCCGGAGCGAAAUUCGGUGGGCCCCGUCCGGGUCCCGGCACACUUGUCAAGCGGCCAGGCGCUCCGUCGCUUUACGAUUCGCGCCAGCAUCCGGCGACCUUGCAGCAGGUCCAUUCCAUGCCGUUACCGGUGCCGUUGCUGAAAUCCUUGCGACAUGAACACUCCCUGCCACGGUCAGUCUCCACCGACACUGCUGGUAACCUUUGAUUCUACCAUAAGUAGAAGUUAAUCCGGCAACAGUUAAUACCCUGAGCUCGCUGUUACUGCUAGCAUUUACACCGUCCUGGGCAGUGGGCACUGUACUGGCGGUACGUGGUUCACGGUAGAUGACCUUCAGUUUUGUCGUCCUGUAUGUUGACCCGUCUCGCAACGGAACAGUUGGCACACCCGUGAGCCGCGACUUGUCCAUCACAGGGCUCUGUUCACGGGAACUUGCAGUCUUACACCCCGAUGCUCUGCCCCCCGGCUGUUCCCUCCGUAACACGGAGUAUUUUUCUGCCACUGACAUCGUGAUUAGCUUAACAAACAAUUGCCAGUAGUGGCUUUAACGGCAUCCGUUUGGUUUCCUUCCAGGCGGCGCGUGCGGGUACGGGACGCUGGUGGACGUGGUGCCGAUGAAGGCGCGGGUGGGGUCGGUGAGCCCCGUGCUGUUCAAGGACGGCGAGGGCUGCGGCGCCUGCUACAAGGUCAAGUGCCUGGACCGGGGCAUCUGCUCGCGCCGGGCGGUGACGGUGAUCGUCACCGACGAGUGCCCCGGCGGGCUCUGCGCCUUCGGCCACACGCACUUCGACCUCAGCGGCGCCGCCUUCAGCAGGAUGGCCGUCGCCGGCGCCGGCGGCCGCCUUCGCGACCGGGGCCAGCUGAACGUCGUCUACAGGAGGUGAGCAAUCCGUCCCCGGCCCUGUUGUUACAGCAGUCUGCUCCCUGAAUACUGGUGUCAGUUCAGAAUCAACUGCUCUGCAUUGCAUAGCACUGAUAGCAGCGGACAGGUAGAAACACAACUUGUCUCGUAAACCGUGAUGCCAUCCUGAAAAAUGGUUGCUUGGCGUCUGAAAGCAUCGCUGGACUGGACGCUGGCGCUGUGAAUUUCCUCUGUAGGAGUAGUACCAUGAGCCCGAUGAGGCGCAGUGAGUUUAAUUGUCCAGGGUUAAAAUGGGAGGGAAUGCAGCCCAGCUGUCUGUCAGUCUCCGCUCUGCGGCUGAGUAGUUAAACAUGCCUGAGCCUGACGUAACUCAGUCAGUGUGUCAUUAGUCUCACGAAUUAGUCUCCUAAUUAGUUUUAUAAUUAGACUAUAUUUAAUACUCCUAAUUAGUGUCUAAACAUCCAAUUUUGUAAUUAGAUUAUGUUUAAUACUCCUAAUUAGUAUCUAAACAUCCGAUGAUGUGACAGGACUAAAGUUUAGCCUCCGUGAGCCAAACACCCCCUUAAUCGCUUUGAACAUCUCCUGAUCACUCUCUUCGGAGAGAGAAAAGGACAAGUGAUCAAUCCAGUUACGAGAUUCCCUGUUUCGUUUUUCUGUCACAAACUGACCGGUGCAGCGUCGUUUGUUUGUCCGUGCAUAUACUGAUAAUCUGAUACACACCAGGACGGCCUGCAAGUACGGCGGGAAGAACAUAGCAUUCCGUGUGAACGAGGGCUCGACCAACUUCUGGCUCUCGCUGCUCGUCGAGUUCGAGGACGGCGAAGGCGACAUUGGAUCCAUGCAGAUAAAGCAGGUAUAUAACCCAGCAGAAUUCCUUCCAUUGCAUUUGCCUCCUACAGAUUCAGAGUUUCAGAGUUCUUCAGACCUCACCCUAGCACUAGCACGCUUCUUGGCCUCUUCUCUUUCUUGCACGGCCCUAUUUCCCUUACCUAGCGACUGCACGCAAACAAAGCGAUUGGGAAAGGAGGGGCUAUCUCUUUGUCCUUAACAACCUUUCGUGUUAGGUCCAUGCCUCAAGAUGCACCGGACCAAGACAGGGCCCCCACAGCCGCAUUGCCAUACCGAGCAUGUUGGAGACACGCGUGGUGUAGCGUUGCUUUGCUUUUAGUACUCUAGCUAGCAUUGCCACUGUUGUUUGGGUUCUUUCUACCCUGUCCAUGUAGAUCAACCUGAAGAAGUGAGGCCAAAAGUCCUGGCAGUUAAAAUCUCCACCCAUUGUUUACCCAAUCUAAGGUUACAUUUACACACCAAAAAGGCAGCUCCUUAUCUCGAACAGGGAAAACCACAGGCAAGAAGGCGUGCUAGUGCUUCUACUUUCUCGCGCUGUCUACCACACAAACCCUAGUCAAAGCUUUGCAUAAAGACACACACAUCUACACGAUCUUCUUUGCCGAAUGAUUCCCGUUCUGAAUGUGUUGGAAAAGCGGCACGUGAGCCCUGGCCGAUGUUGUUGCUGCAUCGACGACGAAUCACUCGCCUUUCCUCCUGUAAGUUGUAACCCACUGGUGUGCUUGGCCCCAUGAUGCUGUUUCUUCACCCCUGUCCCUCCUAAGUAAGACGGCCACGAAGACUAAGGGGGUGUUUGGAUACACCCCACCAAAACUUAGCACCUGUUACAUCGGAUGUUUGGAUGCUAAUUAGGAAUAUUAAACAUAGGCUAAUUACGAAACUAAUUGCACAGAUGGAGUCUAAUUCGCGAGACAAAUCUAUUAAGCCUAAUUAGUCCAUGAUUUGAUAAUAUAGUGCUACAGUAACCAUUUGCUAAUGAUGGAUUAAUUAGACUUAAUAGAUUUGUCUCGCGAAUUAGCACAAGGUUCUGCAAUUAGUUUUAUAAUUAGCUUAUAUUUAGUCCUCUAAUUAGCAUCAAACAUCCGAUAUGACACUGCUAAAGUUUAGACCAUCCAAACACCCCAUAAAGAACCCAUGGCACUUGCACUGAUUGGUCUCUUUCACGCUUGCCGUCCUUUUGUGUUGCGCUAGUGAGUGCUUUCACAGUGGUCGUUAAGUGAAGCCUGACAGCCAUCCUGCGCACGCUCGUGGCCUUGUGGGCUGGGGAAUCCAAAGAUGCCAAGGGAUCCCAUGCCAACCAUGCUGUUGCUUUUUUGUUGCCUUGUAAAGCUUAGAUGCUGCCUGCUUUGCCUAGUGGGUUUACAUUUACAGUAACAACUCGAGCUGAACAAUGCAGAGAUACUAUCAUACCUACUACAGCUGCUGACUGCUCUCUUACAUUCACCCUGCCAAUUUGCCAUGGUUUCUUGCAGGCCAACUCGGUGGAGUGGCUGGACAUGAAGCACGUGUGGGGGGCCACGUGGUGCCUGGUGCGGGGCCCGCUCGUGGGGCCCUUCUCCGUGAGGCUGGCCACGCUGUCCGCCAAGAAGACGCUCACGGCCCGGGACGUCAUCCCCAGGAACUGGACGCCCAAGGCCACCUACACCUCGCGCCUCAACUUCGAGCCGUCCCUCUAGAAGAAAGGGGAGGAGGCCGCCGCCGGAGUGGGCGCGGCGCCCGUGGGCCCACGUUUUAUCGGCCCCGGACGGACACUGCCAUGUGGGCCCGCAAAGGCAUGUGGCCCACUUGGCAGGCAGCCAGGCAGGAAUCCUGUCCUAUUGGAUGGAUCGCAGCUGUUUUUCUGUAUGCAGGCAGCUUAGCCUGAUCGUAGUAUAGCUAGUGUAUGCUGAUGCAUAUGCAUCGGAAGUGUGUGAUGCUAGUAGUUUUUUGUUGUGAUUUGUGAGCAGAGUUCAGGAGCUUGCCCAGGUACCAAGCAGCCGCCGUCUCCAAAGGAGAGAGAGCGUUCGCUGCUUGCCCUGCUUGCUCGGGUCCUGGAAGGCCAGGAAUCGGAUGUGGAAGCUGGCCGGACCGUGGAUCACUCGUGGUCAUAGUGGGUCGUGGCGUCUUGUUCGCUCGUGUGUGCUUGUUCCGGCGUCGAUGUGCUUCUGUUUUGUGUUCGCCCUGAUUGAAAUGCAGAGUUCGUGACAAUGUCAGAAUCUUAUCUGUCCGCUAUGAGGAAUUUUGUGUGGCGCUUCAGAAUGACCCUGCGCUUUCCAUGUGGAUGUCAGAAUGUAUGCGUGUCCUCUUGCUACCAUGUCAGUCAAAGACAGUUAAUAGCGGAUGUGAUUGUUCGUUCAGGGUUGUACAUACUUUUCAGGGAGAGAAUGCGUGAAAACUCCAAAGGGACGUGCACGCGGAAUGUUGGUUGUCACACGGUAUGCCUAGAUCAAUUACACAUGCGACGAAUUCAGUAAUAUCAAAGAUAGUGCCAUAAUCGUAAGGGAGAGUAUGUAAAUUAUUACAUGACCCCGAUAGUCUUUUUAAACCGAAUAGAAAAAGAGUAUUUAUUGUUGCAACGGAUCUUCAACGAAAACAGCGACUCCACGGGCAGCUGACUGGGAAACACGUAAGCUUAGAACUCAAGAACCUCUUUAAAGUUGACCGGUUCUGAGCAGCGGUUUUAGGAAGGGUGAGUACACUUAUGGUUGGUACUCAAUAAGCGUGAGGAAUGUCUAGUGUAAGGUCAUUUAAGGAUAGGCUAUAGUUUAAUAGCAACUCAGCAUUUUAAUUGGUUGGUCAAGUUUUAUUAGCAUUUACUAAGUAUAAGCGUUAAACAUGAACAUAAAUAAAGAUAACUGAAAUAAAUAACAACAAUUUAACUUGACUUCCGAUAAUUUAAUGAUGUGAGGGUCCAAACCGCUCUUACCGUGAGUACAGCUGAUCGAUCAAUUUUACACUCUGCAGAGGUUGCACAUCUUUAUCCACAAAUCGUGUAAAAGUUCAAAAGAAUUUUAGAUCCAACCAUGCUGUGUGGGCCAGGCACAAUACCACACUUCCGAGGUGUGAUUGCAUAGGGACACUACGAGGCUUUUACAAAGAUUCCCUAGUAAGGAUAGCUUGCUAAGGUUUCAUCAUCAGCGCAAUGCAUAAACCUCUCUCCAACUGCGAAGCUACGAUAGAGCAGAUCAAUUAGAGGGCUGGGUUAUACACCAACUGUUGUCUCCUACUCUUCCCCCUUUCAGGUAAAGCUACCACGAACUAGAGUUUCUAUUUAAUUAGUUAAAACCAGAGCCAUAUAGUUCUUGUGGUUCUACUGUUUUCCUGGGUGGUCGCUCCAUGUUCCAAUUAAGCAUGGUGAUCCUGUAUUAAUGAAAGGUAUAGCAUAAAUAAAAUAAGUUUAAUCAUUGAGUUCAUUAAUACCACCAUAACCAAGUUGAGCAACUAAGUAAGAACUACCCAACAUUAAAAUAACCUAGGUUGAUCAAGGUACAGGGAAUAAAACUAGGCACACCUUAGAUAGGACUCAUCAUGUUUAGGAACUUGACGUGCACAACAUAUGUGUAUUGAACAUGAAAGUAAAAGUUUCAUAGGAUCAAGUUGUGAUCAAGGGCACGACUUGCCUUCUUGGACUUGCUCCGAUUGCUCGUAGUCUUCAAAGUCUUGACCUUUGAAUCUCUUGAACCACGGUCCUUCUAUACGCAUCACACGAGCACAUACAAGCAAAUAAUAGAAUAAAAUAAGAAAACAGUAACCAAACAGUAGCAACAGAGAAAAACAAGAUCAUAAAAUUAAUCUAUGCAUUAAGAAGAACUCGUAGACGCAAGAAAUGCUAAAAAUGGAUCUAAAACGUUAAAGAUAUGAACUAAACAAGGUGUAAGGGUGUAUCUGCAAGAAAACUAGACAUCCAGAGGCUAAACUUGAAGAAAUCGAGGACUAAAACAUAAAUACGCAUAUAAACCGAAGGUUUAACAUGCAAAAGAGCAAGGCUAGGAUGGCGAGCACUAUUUUGCAAAAACUUAGGGGUUAAAAUAGAAGAAAAGGGAUCUAAAUCUAAUUACUUUUGAACUGCGCUGAGCCGCGGGUGCAAAAACCAUGAAAGUCAGGGACUCUUUAGCAAAACACACGGCGCGAUGUGGGGGUUGACUGGUAUGGAUUGGGUCAGAUCUGAUCCGGUCCGUCAGAUCUAGAUCUAGUAGCUGCAGUCGUCAGGACUAAACCCGGUGGCUCGCUGUAAUGACCGACCCCUAAUCUUUCCCAGUUAAGUUGAUCUCAGCCCUUAACCUCAGUCAGUUGCUCUGUUGACCGCACCUAAGUGCUCAGUCUUCCGCCAGUUCCGACCCCUGAGAUCCGACCCCUACCGUUCGUUCCUUUUUCCCGACCCUGGCGAGUUCAGCCCUCCGUCGGAUCCUGCUGAUCCUCCUCACCCGUCCGAUCUUUUUCCCCGGUGGACCCGUGAGAUCUUUUCCAGAUCCCCCGCACCAGCCGCACUCGAGUUGCAUGGCCGCCUCAGAGUUUUCCUGCCGCGUGGCUCGUCUUCUCCGACGCCAUCGCCCGGUUUUGUCUCUGGCGAGGAACAGAGUUGGGUCCCGCGCCCUUUUCCCCAAUGGCAGCGGAAGCCCUCUGCAGACCCUCGUCUCCCGCGCCCAUCAUCGCGAUACUGGAUCCCGGCCCCGGAGACCGAUGUCGCCCGUCUUUUCCGUCCUUUCCAGCAACAGUUGCGCCGCCCGGUCGUCGCUACACGACGAUUCCCCAACCGCCAACCCCGACCGCGGCCGCGACAGUCCCUUUCCCCGCUUGGUCAGAAGCCGCCCGACAAUCUGUUGUUCCGCGCUCUCCCCCGCACCGCGUCCGCUUGUUCUCCCACCUGUGCGCCCUUGAUUCUAGCGCCGUUUAACCGGUCGCUUCUGUCACUUCUUCCGCACGGCGACACCCGCUCUCCGCCAAAUCCCAACCACCGGUCUACCCGCGCCUACGCCGCCCUGACGAAGUAGCGCAAUGAUCGCUGGCGUCACCCCCGGAGUUCUGCAGCACCGCCGGGUUUGCUCAAUCGCCGCCACGGCAGAGCACUCCAUUGCUUUUCCCCGGCCUUCGCGCCGCUCCCCUUCUCUCUCUCCGCGACGUUCCCGUUCCUCUGCUCCAGCAGCUAUAAAAGGAAUGCCCCCAUCCCCGGAGUUCCCUCCGCCUUUGUUGCCCUUAGUUUCCUCUAGCUCCCUGCUCAAGCUUCUCGUGCCACCCACCCAGUUCUUGAGAAGUUCUUCUCCCAGUUCCUUCUCAGUUCAACCAAGUCACCAGCAGCGUGCUCCUUGUGCUGCGUAGAGCUCUCUUGUGAUCCGCAAGAAGCAGCGCCGCCGCCGGAGUAUCGCCAAUCUUAGUCCCUGAUCGAAGCUUUAGUUCCGCGCCCAAGUCUGCCUCUUCCCGACCCCAAGCUUUCCUUUCAGGAAGAAGGUGAGUGCCGACCCUAAGUCCGCCUCGACCGACCCCUCCUAUCCGCCCGACCCCAGUUCCGUCUCGUCCGACCCUGCCUGUUCGCCGACCCUUGUCCGCCUCACCCGAGGGUCUGGCUGUGAUCUUUUCUUCAACUUGAGGGUGUAAGUGUAAAACGUGGGAACCCUUCAGCGCCUUCGUCUGAGGAUCCCAGUUAUCACAUCCUCUAGUUCAAGGAUCAGACCACUAGCUUCCUUCCUGCCCUUACAUCAUGAUCACCAUCAGCUCUCUCAAACAGCCUUAACCUCCUGCUCCUUGUCGCGAGUUUCUGAGCUCAGGAGAGCCAGUGUUGCCGUCGACUUAAACGUUUAAGCUAACCCCUGCAUUGCAUUCGUGUAGAGUUGCAUCUCGCUGACGGCUUCUACGAGCUGCACCCGGUGCCCGAAGAAGAAGCUGUAGCCGAGUUCCUGCCCGCUGAAGUCGAAGCCGCCCCCGAAGUCGAGCAGUUUCCGCCCUCUUUGUUUGCAGGCAAGCCCCGGAUGCAUGAAAAUCCUACGUGUUUUUGCCAAACUUGCACAUGCCUUCCGAAUAGCAUGUUUGUGCAUUUACGUUAGGAGUUGUGUGAAACCCUAGAUACAUGACUGAGUAACCCUUGAUAUGAGCACUAGCUGUUGGACCGAGUAGCUGCAUUGCUUAAAUAGGAAACGGUAAAAGCCGAGUGAUCUCCUGUCACUCGCGAGUUGUAGAAGUUGCAUGUUUACUCUCCUGUUACAACUAUAAGGACGAUGGACGGGGCAGGGUUGGUAACACUUUGGUGGUCGGAUGGACGCCCCGUCUGUCUAUGAAAACUUGCUAAGGCCCGACAGUGGUGGUGUUCGUGAUCAAGUGUUUGAAAGUACUAGCCUCAUACUUAGUAUGGGAUGAGGAAGCCUAGUACCUGAUUGAACCUAGACGUGAGCGGUCGCCCCAUUGUUCUUGGAACGGAGUUUCCCCUGCUGGUUGUCGCACGUGGUGGCAAAGCGUGAUCACAGAACAACAGAGACCGGGUCUGUGGAACCUUGCACCAAAGGAAAUGGGCCCGACACGGGUUAGGGGAUCGAUGGGGAAGGCCGACACAGGAAGCGACCUCCGGGUGCGCGGAUGUCGUGGGGCUAGGUUCACCAUGCAUGGUUAAAGAACUCGAAUCGAUUCGUCUGCCUCUCACAGUUUGAGAUUACUUGAUCGCUAUGUCACCUUGAGUAAAUAAGGAAUCUGAUGAUGGCAAUGUUGUUGUUUUUAUCUACACACUUGUUUGGCUCGAUGUUUGGUUAGAAUAGGUUGCACAACCUAGACUGGUAAGUAAAUCUAGAACCGGAGCUAAAACUUGAAAAUAGGUUACUUAGUGCUUUUGGCAAAACAAACCCCUCAGCCAAGAAGCCUUGCAUGUCUAGUUGGAAGAGUAGUUGACUCCUCCCCGGUUAAGUCUUGUUGAGCUUAGUAGCUCAGCCUUGUUGUGGCUCCUGUUUUUCAGGUGAAGUUGCAGCUCCCGACCCCUCCCUUGUUGGCGCUUGGCGCCCCAGCUUCCGCCAGGCUGGACAGUUGAGUGGGACCUCUCCUCGGACGGCGAGGAGAGGACUCAGUGAUGUUCAGGCUGGCCUCGCCCGGACGUCCGACCCCGACGAAGUCUUCCGCUAGCUUUCUCUGUUGAUCUUUGUUUGUAAACCCUAAUGUUGGAUUUUGUAGUGAAACCAAAAUGAGUAAAACUUGUCUAAAAUCCGUGGACUCGUUGUAUUCUCUGUAACCGCUCACCUUCGUGUGGGUUUGCUGAACUCGAUCCUGUUUAAGUGGUUAAAUCGGAUGAAGUCCGACGGCGCUUCGUGUUAGCUCAAGUUAAUCAGGAGUGUCGCAUGUUAGGCGGCUAAACUCUGAUUAAUCAAGCUAAUCCGAGGUGGUUCCGCCACACUCGCAGGCGGCGGAGCGGCGGUGCGCGAUGGCGGUAAACCUCAUUGGAACUUGCUCGAAAUCGAGCGUCCAGCCUCGGUUUGCAAUGGGAACUGGUCUAGGAGGAAGCGGAGCGCACGUCGAACCGAUCUACAGUGUUGUCGUGGUGGAUUGUGCGGCAGCAGCGACGUGCGGUGCGGCAGUGAGGAUGGGGACUCCGGCGAGCUCGUUUGCACGAAGGGAGAUACGGGGAGGCACGAGGACUUCAUGGCAGCCUCCUCACCUCCUUGCGGUUCUUCGGGUGAAGACCAUGGCGAUGGAAGAGCGACGGCGGCGGCAAGCGUGUGCGGUGCUCGGGCUCGGGUAGAGGCGGCGCUGGAGAGCUCGAGGGCGCGGCUUAGGGUUUGGUGAGGCCAAAGGGUGACAGCGGCUACUUAUAUAGCCCGGGGAGGUGGACCUAGGCGUGCGGGCCCAAGGUGCGGGGCGGCUCGAACUCGGGUCGGAGUCCGGCAUGGAGACGGCGGGAGAUAGGGGAUCAUGAGCGGGCCCCGGGUGUCAGCGGUGGAAGCGGAGGAGCGCGGGCGCAGUGCGGGAGCGGGCCGACACGAGAGCUAGGUUGAGGCGCUGGGCUGCUGCGCUGCUGGGCCGAAAGAGAAAGAAGCGGGCUGAAAGAAAGAAACAGGGUGAAAGGAAGAGAAGGGAGGGAAGGAAAAGAAAGAGCUUUCCUAUUGUUUGAAAAGAUUCAAUCAAAUGAAUUCAAACACAAAUUUAAUUUCAAGCAACCAAAAAUAAUGUACUAGCAUGAAUGAACUCCUAUAAUUUAUUAAUUUAUUUUGAAAAAAAUUAAAUGUCUAAGAAAAUUUAAAUGCAAGACAUAUGCAACUAAAUUCUAACAAAUUUUAUUAAAUUGCAAAAGUUGAAAAUUAGGGUGUUACAUUGGUAGGGCUCCUUUGGCAGGCGAGCUGCUGAGCGAGCAACCGGUAAGGUCAGGAACUCAGGGCUUCUUUGGCAGGGCUCCUCGCGAGGGGCUCCUCGUGCGGAGUCGGAGCCGGAGCCGCGGAGCCACUUUUUUGGGCUCCUCCAUGCAGGCCUAAAACGGCUCCGGCUCCUCCCAAAUGUGCCAAAAAAUGACUCCGCGGUCAAUGCCGUUUGGUGCGGCUCCGGCUCCUCCGUACUUCGGUAAGCGCACGGAGUCGGAGCCGGAGCUCUGCCAAACUGUCCCUCAGUACGGCUGUAUACCGGUGCAUCUCUGCUUUCCAAGGGCGAUUCUCUGCUCAAUCUCAUCAUUUUGUUUAAACGUUGCUGCUGCUUCGGAGAUGCUUAUCAAUUCGGCCCACAAGGCCCAUAGAUGGUACGAUUUUGUUUUGUUCCUGGGCCUCAGAUAACCCAAUUGUUACCACCUCUGUUUUCAGGCCCAAACCACCACCCAUGACAUGUUAUUGCUUCAAUGACAUGUUGACCCCACCAUAAUGCCAGCUCAACAUCAACCGCGACCCGCGUCACGUUCUCUUGCAGCCAGGGGCACGUUCAUGCUCGUCGUCACCCCCGGGAUUCCCUGAAAUAGACAAAUCUCUCCCACCCCCUCCGCCGCUGCACGCCUCCCACCCAUAGACGGGACGGGAGAUACUUCCAUCAGCAAAGAUAGCACACAGGAUUCGCGCCGCCCGUGGGAAAAGGAGGCGACGAAUCCAAUCCACCCACCCGCAUUCGGCCGCCACCCCGUGCCAUUGCCGCUGCUGCGCCCGCGAACCGCCGCCAUUCGCGGGGCCAGAGGGAGAGAGGGAGGGGAGGGAGCAAUGGGCGCGGGGAUGGAGGCGGACGAAGGGGUGAUGGCAACGGACUUCUUCUGGUCGUACACGGACGAGCCGCACGCGUCGCGCCGCCGGGAGAUCCUGGCCAAGUACCCGCAGAUCAAGGAGCUCUUCGGCCCGGAUCCGUGGGCCUUCCUCAAGGUGCCGUGAUCUGCCUCUUUUCUUCGCUCUGCUCUACGCGUCUGCUCUCUCUUUCCUGUGUGCUUUUGUGCUUGCAAUGGGGAAUUGGGGAUUGAGCUUGCCGGAAAGUACAAUUCAUGCUGUUUUCUCUUCCUACGAUGCUGGGCGUUUGCGAUGAUGUGCAAGUUGGGUAGCUUUAAAGCCGAGAUCUCUAAUUGCCGUACCCGAAUUCCGGAUCAGUAUACGGUUUUAUACUGUUUUUGGUGGAUUACUUUGGCAUUGUUUAGCUUCUAGUGCUUACGUUGCUGGAGUUAUUCUCAGGAAUCUCCGCAUGACAAAGCGACUGCAGUUAUACUUGUUUGGAGUUUCCCAUUUUCUUUUAUUAAUUGCUUGUUUCGGAACAGUUAACUACUUAGCUUGUUGCCCUUGUCUUCAACCUGCAAAUGUGAUGCGCUUGGAAACUGUUAAGCUUGGGAUUUAUGGUGCAAAACGGAUAAACUAGUAAUUAAGCAAUACAUUUAAAGCAGAAGCUUCUUCCAUUGAGUUGUCUUAUACAGCCAUAACGAGCCUAAUAGAAUUUAUUUAGGCGCCAACCUUUCUUGUUGGCCCUGGAUCAGUUCCACACUUCGAACAGUAACUUUCAUGCCUGAAAUGGUAGUUGCUUCUUCCGAUUGGCUACCGGGCCCUUCCUUUCAAGUUUCAAGGCAUGGAAUAAACCUAUGCUGUUAUUUCAAGAUUAUGAUAUUAGAGAACCGACUAACAAAUGAUAAAGAUCCAUUCUGUCAAACUCCUCCUUUUUACUCUAACCUCUGAUUAUCUAUAGUUCUACACUUUCACUCCAAUUGCCUCUUCCUUUUUACUUAUUUGAAUGUGGGCGCUGAAAGGAAAUUGAGUAAGUAUCAUAUUUUUGGAAAGCCCUAACUACUUUUUCCUUGAGGGAUAAGCCCCCAACUACUUUGCCCAUCGAUAUAUCUAGCUGCUAAGCCUGCUUCACCUUCUGUUUUGCAUGACCAAUUUGGGAUGUUACUUCUAGUAAAUCAACCCUAAGAUGCAAACAUAUCUUUGGUGCUGUCUCAUGGUGACACUUUGGCAACAACCAUAGGAAACAUUUGAGAAAAGUAGAAUUCUUUUCUUUUUUCUGUACAUACGGUCAUUUGCAAGAAAUACAAAUCCACUCACACACAUCUUUGCUAAUACUUGAACAUGAGAAAAUUCUCAGAUGAUCUAUAUCUAUAGAUUUCAGUAAAAUCUGAAUUUGUAACCACACAGACACAAACUCACUAAGUUACUAUAUCCUUCACUGUUGCUCUGCAGCUGUUUGGUUUUCCACGUUCUGUCUCCUUGCUAGUAAGAAAUUUCGGAUUCACAUGCAAAAGUAGUGUCCAUAUAUCCCUUUCACCAACAGCUGUUGCGCUGGCCAUUGAACUUUGGCGAGGGCAGCUAGCAACUUCAAACAGCCACAAUCUCAUGACCCUUGUUUUGAAAAAUCAGGGGACUUGCCAUCCUGUCCAUAAGCUGUAUUUUGUUGUGCCGGAAGUUCGUGUGUACCUGUAUGACACAGUAUGGUCCUAACUGUCAAUGGCAUUCGAUUUACUAUAAGAUAUUACUGCAACAAGUAGCCCUUUUUUCAUUGAGUUUUACAUGUAAUGUUUUCUGAUGGCAAUAUCAACUUUAUCUGCAGAUUGCUGUGGUCGUUUCACUUCAGCUGUGGACUGCCACAUUCCUCCGAGAUGCCAGCUGGUUGAAGCUUCUGACAGUCGCCUACUUCUUCGGCUCCUUUCUAAACCACAACCUGUUCCUUGCAAUCCAUGAACUGAGCCACAACCUCGCCUUCACAACCCCAUCCCUGAAUCGCUGGCUAGGCAUCUUUGCAAACCUCCCCAUCGGAGUCCCCAUGUCCAUAACAUUCCAAAAGUACCACCUGGAGCACCACCGGUUCCAAGGCGUGGAUGGCAUCGACAUGGACGUCCCCAGCCAAGCCGAGGCGCACGCUGUGAGGAACGCCGUCAGCAAAUCCGUUUGGGUGGUGCUCCAGCUCUUCUUCUACGCGCUGAGGCCGCUCUUCCUGAAGCCGAAGCCCCCAGGGCUGUGGGAGUUCACCAACCUCGCCAUCCAGGUCGCGCUCGACGCCGGCCUGGUCUACCUCUACGGCUGGAAGUCGCUGGCGUACCUGAUCCUCUCGACGUUCGUCGGCGGCGGCAUGCACCCCAUGGCGGGCCACUUCAUCUCGGAGCACUACGUCUUCAGCCCCGACCAGGAGACCUACUCGUACUACGGGCCCCUGAACCUGAUGACAUGGCACGUGGGGUACCACAACGAGCACCACGACUUCCCGAGGAUCCCCGGCACCAGGCUGCACAAGGUGAAGGAGAUCGCGCCCGAGUACUACGACAGCCUCAGGUCGUACAGGUCGUGGAGCCAGGUGAUCUACAUGUACAUCAUGGACCAGACGGUGGGGCCGUUCAGCCGGAUGAAGAGGAAGGCGCCCAAGAAAGACUCGUAGUUGUUUGGCCUCCUGCACCCUGUGGGUGGAGUUUUUGCCAUGUAUGAACUCUAGCAGAGAUGUGUUUCUGUUUGUGUAAAACCUGUCGAUUCGUUGGAACUGUGCUACGACAAGUUUUGCAACUAAUUUUCACGCUCCCCACGUAGUAUCAAACAAAUCUCAAAUCUGAUUGCUUUUCGAUUGUGUGUCACUUGAUGCAUGUUGAAAUUAGAUGAUCCGUCGCGUGUUCCUUUCCCUCUCGCCCUCCCAAUGAUCGUGGCCGCUCUGGGAGGCUUCGGAGCGCGAGACGCCGAAGCCUGCCCGUGGCGUACAACGGCGGCGUCGCCUCGUGACCACGCCCGAUCCAUCAGCGAGGGAUCUCCGGGCGCCGAGCGCAGAAACCGGUCGAGCCACGAGGGCGACGACGAAUCAAUCAAGUCGUUGCGCCGGCCAACGAGGCCACGACGCCGAGCGCCCCCUGGCACAGAACAAUUGCCAGCGGAGUAGCGGACGACACGCGAGCGAACAAACCAACCCUCUCCGGGCGCGCUCGGUGAUCUGCUCCCCGCCACCUUCUUCUGGUGGUGGCGGCGGCUGCGGGCCGUGACCGGCGGCGCGGUUUCGUGCGGAACCAGCAAGCCCAGAAGCACGCAGUAACGACACACGAGUCCACCCCAGCGACAAGGAAACUCGAUGGUUCUCGAUAGCUCCCUCCUUUUGCCAGUGUGUUCUUUGCAGAAUGGAUUCGUUACCAAGACUGGAACCUAACCGCACGGACCACCAGAUCCGCCGAAAGUCUCACAGAACCGGCCGGUGUACGCGCUUCCUUCAGUCUCACCAAAAGAAGCAUCGGCAGCGAACGUCUGGCUUUUUCGUCGCACAACAAGAACCUUUUCUAUCUCCUACUACUAACAGAACAUGGAAACGACACAAUCGGCACAGAUUGACAAAUGGGCCCAUAAACUCCCUGCAUGAAUCGGACCCACAUGUCAGUCGGGUUCAGUUUAGCACCUCAUCAGAAGCGAUUGACGAGGAGAUACUUUGGUUCAAAACUUCAACCGCCGCUCACGACCGUCCCUUGAACGCCGACGCGGCGGAACAACUCAUUUUCAAAGCUUUACAGAUCAGCUCCGAGGUCGCGUCCACACCACACCACACCGCGCCGCGGCUACUUUUUUUUUUAUAUAUAUCCCUCCUCCCCUCCAGACGCACGACAAAGUCGGCAACCGCCGCCGCCUCACAUUUUUUCUUCCUUCCUCCAACCACGAGAGCACCGGCGGCAGCGGAUUCCUCCCGACCGAGAAGAGGAAGAAGAAGAUGGGCGGGUUCGAUCUGCAGGUGAAGGAGCGGACCAAGGAGCUGAAGCACCUCAAGGCCGCGGCGAUGAGGGGCAUCAAGGCGGCCGGCGAGUCGUGCAAGAAGGCGUGGAGCAAAGUCAGGAGCAGCAUCAGGCGCUAGGGCGUCGAGUUCGCGAGGCCAUCCCCAUGGAUGAACUCUAGUGUGGUUUUUCUGAGUUUUGAAUGUGGUUUUGGUCUUGUUGGAUCUAUUUAUUUGAGCGACUUGAUGUGAAAAUAGUCUGUGGCUCUGUGCGUAACUGCGUAUGGCUCGUAUUUAUCUUUUGUUCGCCCCUUGUGUGUGAUUUUCUUCAUGCUCUUCUUGCGGUGGCGAACUUUGCAGAUAGCGAUAGAUCUAUUGCCGCCGAUGGAUUCUCUGUUCAUCUCGCACUGAGAAGUAUGCGUAUGCGGAGAAUUUCAACGUCUUCAAACAAGCCAUAGCCACCGUAGGUGUCGAUGAUCCGCAACACCUGAUCAUCAUGGAACCUUCCUUCUCCCACCACCACUAUCGAGGCU